UUUUGGACAAUGGGCGCAAGCCUGAUCCAGCAAUGCCGCGUGCAGGAAGAAGGCCUUCGGGUUGUAAACUGCUUUUGUACGGAACGAAACGGUCCUGGUUAAUACCUGGGGCUAAUGACGGUACCGUAAGAAUAAGCACCGGCUAACUACGUGCCAGCAGCCGCGGUAAUGCGUAGGGUGCAAGCGUUAAUCGGAAUUACUGGGCGUAAAGCGUGCGCAGGCGGUUUUGUAAGACAGGCGUGAAAUCCCCGGGCUUAACCUGGGAAUGGCGCUUGUGACUGCAAAGCUGGAGUGCGGCAGAGGGGGAUGGAAUUCCGCGUGUAGCAGUGAAAUGCGUAGAUAUGCGGAGGAACACCGAUGGCGAAGGCAAUCCCCUGGGCCUGCGCUGACGCUCAUGCACGAG
rnacentral:rRNA from 1 species